GGGGAUAUAGCUCAAUUGGUAGAGUAUUUGCCUCCCAUGCAUAAAGCCUGGAUUCAGUCCCCAGAACCUCCA
rnacentral:tRNA from 1 species